UUUUUUUUUUGUAUGUCUGCAAAUCUUUUUUAUUGAUUUAAUCAGUAAGUUCAAGUAACCAUCAAAACCAAAUGUGCUUGCUUUUGUACAGUGCAGGUUGUUUCAGAAAGACAGAAGACUUGAUGGUGUGGAGCGCCUGCAGUUUCACUGGCCUUGUCUGAUCACACAAGAGUGUAUGAUCACAGAAUGGAUGACCUGAGUGAUUUCCUGAGGCAAAGGAAUAUUCCAGAGGAAACUAUCGAGACCAUGCUGAGAGAGAAGAUUGAUACCAACGUCAUCCAGCUCAUGACAGAUGAAGAGCUAAAGAAUUAUUUGCCAUCAUAUGGAGACCGCAUAGCCCUAUCAGGAUACUGUAAAAGGAAGGAAAAUGGCCCCCCCAAGCAGUCGCAAAUCAAAACUGUUUGAGCGCCUGAAAUCAAAGCUGGGUAAAAGAAAAACUGCUCAUGAAGAUGGCUGUGGUAUGGAAAAAGAAGAGCAAUCUGAAACAACUGUAAAGAAGAAUGCUCUGAAGUCAAAGAGAAAAAUAGAAAUAGGCUGGCUGCUUUAUGAUGAAGAACAACAGGCUUUUAAACAAGUAAGAGCAAGAAGAGGUGGUGGAACAAGGAAGGUCGAUGUAUCAAAGGAUGCUAAAAAAAGUGAGAUAAUC